UACAGGGGGUGCAAACGUUGCUCGGAAUUAUUGGGCGUAAAGCGCGCGUAGGCGGCUACUUAAGUCGGAUGUGAAAGCCCUUGGCUCAACUGAGGAAGUGCACCCGAAACUGAGUGGCUAGAGUACGAAAGAGGGUCGCGGAAUUCCCGGUGUAGAGGUGAAAUCCGUAGAUAUCGGGAGGAACACCGGUGGCGAAGGCGGCGACCUGGGUCGAUACUGACGCUGAUGCGCGAAAGCGUGGGGAGCAAACAGG
rnacentral:rRNA from 1 species